UACGUAGGGGGCAAGCGUUGUCCGGAAUCAUUGGGCGUAAAGCGCGUGUAGGCGGCCCGGUAAGUCCGCUGUGAAAGUCGGGGGCUCAACCCUCGAAAGCCGGUGGAUACUGUCGGGCUCGAGUACGGGAGAGGCGAGUGGAAUUCCUGGUGUAGCGGUGAAAUGCGCAGAUAUCAGGAGGAACACCGGUGGCGAAGGCGGAUCUCUGGGCCAUACUGACGCUGAGGAGCGAAAGCGUGGGGAGCGAACAGG
rnacentral:rRNA from 1 species